rnacentral:rRNA from 1 species
GACGAACGCUGGCGGCGUGCUUAACACAUGCAAGUCGAACGGUGAAGCUCCAGCUUGCUGGAGUGGAUCAGUGGCGAACGGGUGAGUAACACGUGAGCAACCUGCCCCUGACUCUGGAAUAAGCUCUGGAAACGGCGUCUAAUACUGUAUACGAUAAGGGUCCGCAUGGGCACUUUCUGUAAGGUUUUUCGGUUGGGGAUGGGCUCGCGGCCUAUCAGCUUGUUGGUUAGGUAAUGGCUCACCAAGGCGAGGACGGGUAGCCGGCCUGCGAGGGCGACCGGACACACUGGGCCUGAGACACGGCCCAGACUGCAACGGGAGGCAGCAGUGGGGAAUAUUGCACAAUGGGAGAAAGCAUGAUGAAGAGACGCCGCGUGAGGGAUGACGGCCUUCGGGUUGUAAAACUCUUUCAGUAGGGACGAAGCGAAAGUGACGGUACCUGCAGAAGAAGCACCGGCUAACUACGUG